UUUUCCUGGGUGCCCUCUCUCUCUCUCUGGUCUCUUCUCUGUGCCGACUUUGCCUGUCCCUACACACACGACCCCCCACCGCGGAUCCCUUGUGGGUGGUCCCUCUGGGUGGGGCGGUUGCUGCUGCAACGGCCCGCUUCAACGGGCUGGCGAACCACGCCGCUGGCCAUGGACGAAUAAUCGUCGAUGCGUCAUAUAUAUUACGUAACACGCAUUUCAUUGUCGACGGCGUUGACUGUCACGUACACAAACACACAUACUGGUGUUAAAGAGCUCUGUGCUCGACGUAUGCCACGCAGCCGCAGCAGCAGCAGCGGUGAUGACGGCGGUGGCGGCAAACGCCGCGGCCGCUACGCCGCCGUGGUGGAGAAGGGCGAGAAUGCGUGGAAGCGGGAGUGGAGCAGCUUCAUGUCCGGCGUGAACCUCAAGCGACUGCGGGAUGGCACUAGCGGCGUGGCGCUUAAGGCCUCCGCCGACAUUGAGCGCCAGCUGGUAGCGCGUGAGGCGGCGUCAUCGUCCUCGCCGGCUGCUGGUGCGCAUGGCAGCGGGAACGGCGUGGAAGUGAACGAUGACGGCAUCCCUUUGGGGGCGAUCGCCAGCCAUGCCAGCUUCUCGUACCUGUUCUCCUCCCCAGCUGAGCGCCGCGCUGAGCGAGACGCGCGCGAGCGGGCGGAGUCGGAGCGCCGCCAGGCCCACAAGCGCGAACUCAUGGCCAAGAAAGACCCCUUGAGCGUGUUGAGCAAGCAUCAGCGCGCUAUGCACGACGCCGAGCAACGCGGGCUGCAGCUCGACGGCAUGACGCGGAAGGAGCGGCGUAGCUUUCUUCAACUGACUGUGACGGAGGCGCAGAGGAAGGCAGAGGAGCAGUCGCGCGAGUUCAAGCUGCAUGACCUGAUGGAUGAGAAGCUGGCUUGGUACCAGCAAGGGCCUCACCCAAUCGACCUCAUCGCCGAGAAGCUGGUUCGCCGCAAGGCGGAGAAAAAGGCAAAGCAGCUGCGGCUCAAGUACAACUACCUGGCCCCGCACCCGUCCUGGCUCGCGAAGCGUGCGCAGCGCCGUCGCGAGAGCCUGCUCGUCGGUCUCGGCAAGCGUCUCAUCUUUUCGGAGAGCGUGACAGGCGAGGACAAGGACGACGAUACAACUGUCCCGACGAGCGAAGUUAUGGUGACGGACCCGCUGCACCAUCUAACAGUGCCAUUGAGCGAAAUGGGGCGGCUGCUCGGGCAGCAAGGUUCCGCGUCGCUAUCUGCAGCUGCCGCCGCGGAUGCGGAUGCAUUGGUGACAGUAGCAGCUGGUAGCAGCAGCGGCGAUGACAUUGAAGACGUGAAGGGAGCGGACGAGGAGGGGGCGCAGCACUUGGGUGGUGAAGUCGGCCGCGGGCACCGAGGUGACGUCACGGCCACUCGGAAGAAGGCUGUGUCUGCUUCAUCUGCUGCCUCCAGCGCUGGAGGAUGUAGUAGCGCCUCUCCAGGGAAGUGCGCUAGUGGUGAGGCAGGCAAUGACGGCGUCGACAAUGACGCGGCACAAGUGCGACUGCCGGACGUCGUGGUGCUGCAAGAUCCGUCCCGCAUCGCCACAUCGUUUGUGCGCACCGUGGCACGGAAUCGCACGACGGCGUUGGCGAUCCAGCAAAUAAACCGCACGACGAACUUCCUGAGCUCGGGAUUGGUGAAAGGCCCCAGUCUACGCCCGGAGGAUGCGCUACCGGGCAACUGUCUUCCCUCGCGAGGGCUCGGCACACCUCCGGCAGCGGCGGCGUUGACGCCCUCGCCGAAGAACACUGCCGCCGCAUUGAAGCAGGAUUCCGCCGCAGGCGGCGCCAAGCAUGCUGCGGCCACCUCGAGGCGCUCCUCUGCCGCCAGCAGAGGCCGCGAGCGUGUGCGUGUGGCGGAUGGUGAGGAAGAGGGCGGCGAGCGUCGUCGGCACCGUCGCGGCGCGGACGCGAGUGCCGCGGAGUCGCAAACGAAAAAGUCAAAGCAUACCACAUCGCCGUCUCCACGCCCACGCGGCGCGCGCGCCCCCACUAGCCCCGUGAAGUCACCAGCCGCGGUGGCCCUUCGAAAAGCCAAAAAGGUCAAGUGAACUCAAGAAGCUCGAGUAAGAUGAAGAGACAGCGAGCGAGCAGCAGAUAGGAUUGAGGUGAUGCUGAUGAUCGCGUUGCCGCUGCCGAAGCAUCACCGCCUCUUGCCUUUCCCCUCACCGCG
rnacentral:misc_RNA from 1 species